rnacentral:rRNA from 1 species
CCUACGGGGGGCUGCAGUGGGGAAUAUUGCACAAUGGGCGCAAGCCUGAUGCAGCCAUGCCGCGUGUGUGAAGAAGGCCUUCGGGUUGUAAAGCACUUUCAGCGGGGAGGAAGGCGUUAAGGUUAAUAACCUUGUCGAUUGACGUUACCCGCAGAAGAAGCACCGGCUAACUCCGUGCCAGCAGCCGCGGUAAUACGGAGGGUGCAAGCGUUAAUCGGAAUUACUGGGCGUAAAGCGCACGCAGGCGGUCUGUCAAGUCGGAUGUGAAAUCCCCGGGCUCAACCUGGGAACUGCAUUCGAAACUGGCAGGCUAGAGUCUUGUAGAGGGGGGUAGAAUUCCAGGUGUAGCGGUGAAAUGCGUAGAGAUCUGGAGGAAUGCCGGUGGCGAAGGCGGCCCCCUGGACAAAGACUGACGCUCAGGUGCGAAAGCGUGGGGAGCAAACAGGAUUAGAUACCCCUGUAGUC